rnacentral:sRNA from 1 species
GGAGAGUUGUCUCAUUGGCACUCACACCACAUCUUCCUAUAUAUAUUUGUUAUAUUGGGUACAAGUUGCUACCAAAUAUGACAUAAAGAUAAGCAACCAAGAAAGAAAGAAAGAAAUUAAAUAUUUCAAAUGAUAAAGAUAUGAUGUGGCGUGAGUGUCAAUGAGACAACUCUCC